rnacentral:misc_RNA from 1 species
GAAAUGCGAUAAGUAGUGUGCAUUGCAGAAUUCAGUGAAUCAUCGAAUCUUUGAACGCACAUUGCGCCCCUUGGUAUUCCAUGGGGCAUGCCUGUUCGAGCGUCAUUUGUACCCUCAAGCUCUGCUUGGUGUUGGGUGUUUGUCCCCGUCUCCGCGCGUGGACUCGCCCCAAAGUGAUUGGCAGCCGGCGUACUGGUCCCGGAGCGCAGCACAUGUCGCGCAAACGAGUGCCUUGGUACGGCGGCGUCCAUAAGCCCCUCUCUCACGCUCUUGACCUCGGAUCAGGUAGGGAUACCCGCUGAACUUAAGC